rnacentral:rRNA from 1 species
UACGUAAGGGGCAAGCGUUGUCCGGAAUCACUGGGCGUAAAGCGCACGUAGGCGGCUUGGCAAGUCAGGGGUGCAAGCUCUAGGCCUAACCUAGAAAUUGCCUCUGAAACUACCUCGCUUGAGGGUCUGAGGGGAAACUGGAAUUCACGGUGUAGAGGUGAAAUUCGUAGAUAUCGAGAGGAACACCCGUGGCGAAGGCGGCUCUCUGGGACGGUACUGACGCUGAGACGCGAAAGCGUGGGGAGCGAACAGG